GUGGGGAAUUUUGGACAAUGGGCGAAAGCCUGAUCCAGCCAUGCCGCGUGCAGGAUGAAGGCCUUCGGGUUGUAAACUGCUUUUGUACGGAACGAAAAGACUCCUUCUAAUAAAGGGGGUCCAUGACGGUACCGUAAGAAUAAGCACCGGCUAACUACGUGCCAGCAGACGCGGUAAUACGUAGGGUGCAAGCGUUAAUCGGAAUUAUUGGGCGUAAAGCGUGCGCAGGCGGUUAUAUAAGACAGAUGUGAAAUCCGCGGGCGCAACCUGGGAACUGAAUUUGUGACUGUAUAGCUAGAGUACGGUGGAGGGGGAUGGAAUUCCGCGUGUAGCAGUGAAAUGCGUAGAUAUGCGGAGGAACACCGGUGGCGAAUGCAAUUCCCUGGACCUGUACUGACGCUCAUGCACGAAAGCGUGGGGAGCAAACAGUAUUAGAAACCCCGGUAGUCC
rnacentral:rRNA from 1 species